rnacentral:lncRNA from 1 species
UUUCUCAAACUAAGCUGGAACCCCUCUCGGGAAGCUCCAACCUCCUGCAAACCCCAUGACUCUAGAACCUGCAUGAGGCGUCGUUUCCCUGCCCCCUUCCAGUUGUGCCUGCCCCUCACUGCCCUCUCCGCACACAGAUUCCCUGUCCACCAGGCCAGGGAUGUGGGCGGGGGCUGGGGAGCGGCCAGAGUCGGAAUGAAAGGGCCUUUUUCUUCCACAGCUGGGAGAACAGCUGCCACCAAAGCGAGACUGGACACUCUGUGCCUAGAGCCCCCUCUGCAGCUGGCCUUUCCUCCUGGGACCCCACUUAUCCUCACUUCGCUUUCUUUUUCUUCCCUGCCUGGCUCCCGGCAGGGCCCCGGAGCAGCAGUGGGCGAGGAAAAUUUGUCACAGCAGCCAGAGGGGUUUAACAGGAGUGCAGAGGGAUAAGGGCAGCUUCUGCCCUCUGCCCAAGAGCUGGCCACCUCUUUAAAGACUGAGGGAACAGUGGGAGGAGGAACUGUGGGACAGUGUGGUACCUAUCUGUCCCCCCUCUGGAGGGGUUGACAAGGGAAAGGGCACCGGGGGGCACAGAGAUGCAGGACAGAUUGCACAUCCUGGAGGACCUGAAUAUGCUCUACAUUCGGCAGAUGGCACUCAGCCUGGAGGACACGGAGUUGCAGAGGAAGCUAGACCAUGAGAUCCGGAUGAGGGAAGGGGCCUGUAAGCUGCUGGCAGCCUGCUCCCAGCGAGAGCAGGCUCUGGAGGCCACCAAGAGCCUGCUAGUGUGCAACAGCCGCAUCCUCAGCUACAUGGGCGAGCUGCAGCGGCGCAAGGAGGCGCAGGUGCUGGGGAAGACAAGC